rnacentral:rRNA from 1 species
AGCAGCCGCGGUAAUUCCAGCUCCAAUAGCGUAUAUUAAAGUUGUUGCAGUUAAAAAGCUCGUAGUUGAAUUUCGGGAUCAAUUUAUCGGUCGUGCCUAUGGUAUGAACUGGUACAAUUGGUUUCUCCCUUCUGACGAAGCAUGAUGUCAUUAAUUUGGUGUCGUGGGGAAUCAGGACUGUUACUUUGAAAAAAUUAGAGUGUUUAAAGCAAGCAUUAGCUUGAAUACAUUAGCAUGGAAUAAUGAAAUAGGACGUUUGAUCCUAUUUCGUUGGUUUCUAGGAUCGACGUAAUGAUUAAUAGGGAUAGUUGGGGGCAUUAGUAUUCAAUUGUCAGAGGUGAAAUUCUUGGAUUUAUUGAAGACUAACUACUGCGAAAGCAUUUGCCAAGGAUGUUUUCAUUAAUCAAGAACGAAAGUUAGGGGAUCGAAGACGAUCAGAUACCGUCGUAGACUUAACCAUAAACUAUGCCGACUAGGGAUCGGAUGAUGUUAAUUUUUUAAUGACUCA